GUGGGGAAUCUUCCGCAAUGGACGAAAGUCUGACGGAGCAACGCCGCGUGAGUGAUGAAGGUCUUCGGAUUGUAAAGCUCUGUUAAUCGGGACGAAAGAGCCUAGUGUGAAUAAUGCUAGGAAGUGACGGUACCGGAAUAGAAAGCCACGGCUAACUACGUGCCAGCAGCCGCGGUAAUACGUAGGUGGCAAGCGUUGUCCGGAAUUAUUGGGCGUAAAGCGCGCGCAGGCGGAUCUGCCAGUCUGUCUUAAAAGUUCGGGGCUUAACCCCGUGAUGGGAUGGAAACUACAGAUCUAGAGUAUCGGAGAGGAAAGUGGAAUUCCUAGUGUAGCGGUGAAAUGCGUAGAUAUUAGGAAGAACACCAGUGGCGAAGGCGGCUUUCUGGACGACAACUGACGCUGAGGCGCGAAAGCCAGGGGAGCAAACGGGAUUAGAUACCCUUGUAGUCC
rnacentral:rRNA from 1 species